UGAUUGUCAACGUUAGUGUUCUGCAUUGC
rnacentral:sRNA from 1 species